rnacentral:rRNA from 1 species
UACGGAGGGUGCGAGCGUUGUCCGGAAUCACUGGGCGUAAAGGGCGCGUAGGCGGCUUCUCAAGCGUGUGGUGAAAGUCCGGGGCUCAACCCCGGAUCGGCCGUGCGGACUGGGGAGCUCGAGUUCUGUAGAGGCGGGUGGAAUUCCGGGUGUAGCGGUGGAAUGCGUAGAGAUCCGGAAGAACACCGGUGGCGAAGGCGGGUCUCUGGGCCGUAACUGACGCUGAGGAGCGAAAGCGUGGGGAGCGAACAGG